rnacentral:rRNA from 1 species
AGUGAACGCUGGCGGCAGGCCUAAUACAUGCAAGUCGAACGGCAGCACAGCAGAGCUUGCUCUGUGGGUGGCGAGUGGCGGACGGGUGAGGAAUACAUGGGAAUCUGCCCAGUCGUGGGGGAUAACGUAUGGAAACGUACGCUAAUACCGCAUGCGCCCUACGGGGGAAAGUCGGGGACCGCAAGGCCUGACGCGAUUGGAUGAGCCCAUGUUCGAUUAGCUAGUUGGCGGGGUAAAGGCCCACCAAGGCGACGAUCGAUAGCUGGUCUGAGAGGAUGAUCAGCCACACUGGAACUGAGACACGGUCCAGACUCCUACGGGAGGCAGCAGUAGGGAAUAUUGGACAAUGGGGGCAACCCUGAUCCAGCCAUGCCGCGUGAGUGAAGAAGGCCCUCGGGUUGUAAAGCUCUUUUGUCCGGAAAGAAAAGCAAUCGGUUAAUACCCGGUUGUUCUGACGGUACCGGAAGAAUAAGCACCGGCUAACUUCGUGCCAGCA